rnacentral:rRNA from 1 species
CCUACGGGAGGCUGCAGUGAGGAAUAUUGGUCAAUGGGCGUAAGCCUGAACCAGCCAAGUCGCGUGAGGGAUGAAGGUUCUACGGAUCGUAAACCUCUUUUAUAAGGGAAUAAAGUGCGGCACGUGUGCCGUUUUGUAUGUACCUUAUGAAUAAGGAUCGGCUAACUCCGUGCCAGCAGCCGCGGUAAUACGGAGGAUCCGAGCGUUAUCCGGAUUUAUUGGGUUUAAAGGGUGCGUAGGCGGCGUUUUAAGUCAGCGGUGAAAGUUUGUGGCUCAACCGUAAAAUUGCCGUUGAUACUGGGAGGCUUGAGUAUGUUUGAGGCAGGCGGAAUGCGUGGUGUAGCGGUGAAAUGCUUAGAUAUCACGCAGAACCCCGAUUGCGAAGGCAGCCUGCUAAGCCGUGACUGACGCUGAUGCACGAAAGCGUGGGGAUCAAACAGGAUUAGAUACCCGUGUAGUC